GUGGAUUUUUAGCCCUGGUGGGUAGCUUCCCGGAAACGAAAGUCUUCCGGUUCCGGGGGAAGUAUGGUUGCAAAGCUGAAACUUAAAGGAAUUGACGGAAGGGCACCACCAGGAGUGGAGCCUGCGGCUUAAUUUGACUCAACACGGGGAAACUCACCCGGCCCGGACACCGUAAGGAUUGACAGAUUGAUAGCUCUUUCAUGAUUCGGUGGUUGGUGGUGCAUGGCCGUUCUUAGUUCGUGGAUCGAUUUGUCUGGUUUAUUCCGAUAACGAGCGAGACUCUAGCCUACUAAAUAGUAACGAGAUUAUCAAUGUCUCAGUUGCUUCUUAGAGGGAUUUUCGGUGUUUAGCCGCACGAGAUUGAGCAAUAACAGGUCUGUGAUGCCCUUAGAUGUCCGGGGCUGCACGCGCGCUACACUGGCGAAAUCAGCGUGCUGUAUCCAUUCUCGAAAGGGAUUGGUAAACCCAUGAAAAUUUGCCGUGCUUGGGAUCGGAAAUUGCAAUUAUUUUCCGUGAACGAGGAAUUCCAAGUAAGUGCGAGUCAUCAACUCGC
rnacentral:rRNA from 1 species